GUUGUAAUUGCACAGCUACAGGUUUGUGGUUUGCUUGUAAUCAAUAGAAUGUGACCAAAGUGAUUCUAUGGGACUUCCCAGGGUAGGUCAAAAAAUGUGAUUCAGCUUCUGCCUUGUUCUUCCUAACACUUGUGGAGGAGCCUGGAGCCACCAUUCAAGUUCAAUUUCCUGAAGCAACCAUGCUAUAAGGAAGCUCAAGCUUUAUGAAGAGGCCAUGGGUAGGCACUGCAGUCAACAGCUCCAGACUAACUCCCAGAUGACAGCCAUCUGGGGUAUUCAGCCCAGGAGGGCCUUUGAUGACUGUAACCCCAGCUUUCAUCUUACUGUAAUCACUUGAGGAACCCUGUGCAAGAACUGUCCAGCUGAGACCUUUUUAAACUUCUGACACAUUUUUUAGAAAAACAAAAUAGAGUAAUUGGGGUAAUUUGUUAUGCAGCAAUAGUAAUCAGCACACAUGCUGAAAGCCAACCAACCACCAACUUAGCAGCAUAUUAUGAACUCUUCUUUCAUGUCAUUCCAUUUCCUUCCACACCAUUUUAAUGGUUCAUUGUAUUUUAUUGUAUGGAAAAAUAUACCAUUUUAAAACUAAUU
rnacentral:lncRNA from 1 species